CAAAGGGCCCAGCUAUGGACGUCUACAUGCAGAGCGACCUGUGAUUCUCUUUCCAAGUGGAAACAAGACCCCAAGGGUCAUGGCUGUGUUUCUGCAGCUCAGGAGAGGCACAGAUGUCCCCAGAGGAGCCCCGGGAAGGAUGUUCCACAGUGACUAAGUAAAUGACAGGACUGAAGCCAGAGGUGAAAGUGAGAUGUCAGAGGCUGUGUCAGAGUGCAGAGGGCUCAGCUUGGAUGCUCCCUCCUCCAAGAAGCCUUCCCUGACUCUCAAAGACUGAAUCAUACUACCAGGGAUCCUUGUGGCAGCUCUUUCGGCUCCUUGAACCUCCUCACCUCCCUGCAAAGGGUCUUCUCCAUAUUCAGCCACAAACAUCCUGGUAAGCUUUCAGAAAUGAGGAAUCAGUGUUCAGCUCUGGCUUUGAAACAGAGCCUUGAAUUCCAUAAUGAAGCAACUGCCUUGAAAGCCAG
ensembl:lncRNA